GGCUCCUAAGCAUUAUGGCGAUGCAGCGGACUCUUAAUCCGUAGAUGUCAGUUCGAUUCUGGCAGGGGCCA
rnacentral:tRNA from 1 species